GGGCCUGCACAAGCGGUGGAGCAUGUGGUUUAAUUCGAUGAUACGCGAGGAACCUUACCAGGGCUUAAAUGUAAGUUGCAUAGAUCAGAGAUGGUCUUUUCUUCGGACUACUUACAAGGUGCUGCAUGGUUGUCGUCAGCUCGUGCCGUGAGGUGUCAGGUUAAGUCCUAUAACGAGCGCAACCCCUGUCGUUAGUUACCAGCAAGUUAAGUUGGGCACUCUAGCGAGACUGCCGGUGCAAACCGCGAGGAAGGUGGGGAUGACGUCAAAUCAUCACGGCCCUUACGUCCUGGGCUACACACGUGCUACAAUGGCCGGUACAGAGAGCAGCCACUACGCGAGUGGAUG
rnacentral:rRNA from 1 species